rnacentral:rRNA from 1 species
GACGAACGCUGGCGGCGUGCCUAAUACAUGCAAGUUGAGCGCUGAAGGUUGGUACUUGUACCGACUGGAUGAGCAGCGAACGGGUGAGUAACGCGUGGGGAAUCUGCCUUUGAGCGGGGGACAACAUUUGGAAACGAAUGCUAAUACCGCAUAAAAACUUUAAACACAAGUUUUAAGUUUGAAAGAUGCAAUUGCAUCACUCAAAGAUGAUCCCGCGUUGUAUUAGCUAGUUGGUGAGGUAAAGGCUCACCAAGGCGAUGAUACAUAGCCGACCUGAGAGGGUGGUCGGCCACAUUGGGACUGAGACACGGCCCAAACUCCUACGGGAGGCAGCAGUAGGGAAUCUUCGGCAAUAGACGAAAGUCUGACCGAGCAACGCCGCGUGAGUGAAGAAGGUUUUCGGAUCGUAAAACUCUGUUGGUAGGGAAGAACGUUGGUGAGAGUGGAAAGCUCAUCAAGUGACGGUAACUACCCAGAAAGGGACGGCUAACUACGUG